CCUACGGGAGGCUGCAGUCGAGAAUUUUUCUCAAUGGGGGAAACCCUGAAGGAGCGACGCCGCGUGGAGGAUGAAGGUCUUCGGAUUGUAAACUCCUGUCAUGAGGGAGUAAGGCAUUGCGUUAACUGCGUGGAUGCUUGAUAGUACCUCAAGAGGAAGGGACGGCUAACUCUGUGCCAGCAGCCGCGGUAAUACAGAGGUCCCAAGCGUUGUUCGGAUUCAUUGGGCGUAAAGGGUGCGUAGGCGGCCAUGUAAGUCAGAUGUGAAAUUCCUGGGCUCAACCUCGGAACUGCAUUUGAUACUGCGUGGCUAGAGUACUGGAGGGGAGACUGGAAUUCACGGUGUAGCAGUGAAAUGCGUAGAUAUCGUGAGGAAGGCCAGCGGCGAAGGCGAGUCUCUGGACAGUAACUGACGCUGAGGCACGAAGGCUAGGGGAGCAAACGGGAUUAGAUACCCCUGUAGUC
rnacentral:rRNA from 1 species